rnacentral:rRNA from 1 species
CGGCGUGCCUAAUACAUGCAAGUCGAGCGGAAUGAUGAAGAAGCUUGCUUCUUCUGAUUUUAGCGGCGGACGGGUGAGUAACACGUGGGCAACCUACCUUGUAGAUUGGGAUAACUCCGGGAAACCGGGGCUAAUACCGAAUAAUCCAUUUUGCUUCAUGGCGAGAUGUUAAAAGGCGGCUUCGGCUGUCACUACGAGAUGGGCCCGCGGCGCAUUAGCUAGUUGGUAGGGUAAUGGCCUACCAAGGCGACGAUGCGUAGCCGACCUGAGAGGGUGAUCGGCCACACUGGGACUGAGACACGGCCCAGACUCCUACGGGAGGCAGCAGUAGGGAAUCUUCCACAAUGGACGAAAGUCUGAUGGAGCAACGCCGCGUGAGUGAAGAAGGUUUUCGGAUCGUAAAACUCUGUUGUAAGGGAAGAACACGUACGAGAGUAACUGCUCGUACCUUGACGGUACCUUAUUAGAAAGCCACGGCUAACUACGUG